rnacentral:lncRNA from 1 species
AUGUGGUUACGUUGGACCUACUUGGAUAAUCGAGGACAACACUCCUGCGUUAGUUCCCUAGAGCUGCUGCAAGAAACGAGCACGGAGUGCCAUGGGCUCCAAGGCCCAUCACUUUAUCCACUUGUAACUGAGCCCUGCUGCACCCGCAGGCUCGUGAAUGCAGGGGUCCAGGGUGGGCACCACAGCAGGAGCCCUGCCUCUGUGGCCUCCCACUGGCAGCAGGUGUCGACCUUUACCAGUGCAGCUCCUGCAGGGUGUCUCCCAUUGUGCAGUCAACCCAGGAGCACACAGACAACCUCCCAGGAGCUGCUGGCUCUGAGGUUCUGCAGAGGAGGGCAUCACAAUAACGGCAAGUGCAUGGCACUUGGCAGCAGUCAGUGGCGCUCUCUGAGCUCACUGCCCAAAGCAGGGCCCUUCUUUGCUGAUAGGAGUCUUUCCUUCCUUUUGCCCCAUCCCUGCAGAGAGAUGCUCCAGCCACUCCGGAAGUGCCCAAGUCCCUGUUCCACCACUGCCAUACACCCAGAGAAUUCCUUGCUGCCAACGGACACAGACAGCAGGCCAACUUCGUCUUCUGCACUUGGGUAAGUGUGUGAGCGUCCUGGAUUGUCUCCUCUGUCUGGAAAAUAGCCAUGUACUCGUCCUACCUGCCAUUCCCGAGGGAAAGUCUUUGACGGAAUAUCUCACCACGCUGGGGUGACGGAUCGGAAGACAAAACUGUGCCCCUGACAACAUGGCCGUGGAUGGCCUCUCCAGCGGCUCACCACGCUGGCUUUGCUUGGAAAGUUAGAAUGAUGCUUCUCGGCGUCCUUCACCAGCGAUGGGAGCUAGCUGCAAGAUGAGUGAUGCUCCUUUGUUCUCCCGCGAGUGUGCGCUGCGGUCAGACAGCAAAGGCCCUUGUCGUGUGGACAACAGUGUUGGGCCGAGUCAGGACUUGUCCUUUUGCCCCUUCGUCGUCAUGGGGCUGCAAAGUCGGUGCCCACACCGUGCCCGCUCUGCCCACAGCCACGCACACAGGGCCCCAGAAGGACACGGUCUUUCCACCCUCUAUGCUGCGGGGGCAGAAAGCUCCCCAGGCAGCUCGUGGCCCAGCUUCAUGCACACGUUCUAAAGCGUAAGAUCAGGUGCAGGGGAACGUUCUGACUUCUGUCUCCGUGACAAACCUGCACAGCCGGGACAGGCCCCCUUUCUCCUGCAAUACUGAGUAACGGGGGGUUCACGGCACGAGCGUCAGCAAGGUCUGGGUCUCCUCUGCACCACGCACCCGAGCACGCAGUGAGCACGGGCUCCCUUUGUCCCUAAGAGGACGGUUCUGCGAAACAUUUUCCUAGGGGGUUUGUAGAUAUCGUAUCCCUCAUCCAGUGCCAUUUAAUGCAAUUUAAAAUAAAAUUAAAAAGUAUAAGACAUUUACUUGACUCUCACCCACUAAACGGGCACAUAUGCUUCUCCCUGGGAGAGGCUGCUCCGGCCCCCCAGGAAAGGACC